rnacentral:rRNA from 1 species
CCUACGGGAGGCAGCAGUGAGGAAUAUUGGUCAAUGGACGAGAGUCUGAACCAGCCAAGUAGCGUGAAGGAUGACUGCCCUAUGGGUUGUAAACUUCUUUUAUAUGGGAAUAAAACGUUCCACGUGUGGGAUUUUGUAUGUACCAUAUGAAUAAGGAUCGGCUAACUCCGUGCCAGCAGCCGCGGUAAUACGGAGGAUCCGAGCGUUAUCCGGAUUUAUUGGGUUUAAAGGGAGCGUAGGUGGAAUGUUAAGUCAGUUGUGAAAGUUUGCGGCUCAACCGUAAAAUUGCAGUUGAAACUGGCAGUCUUGAGUACAGUAGAGGUGGGCGGAAUUCGUGGUGUAGCGGUGAAAUGCUUAGAUAUCACGAAGAACUCCGAUUGCGAAGGCAGUUCACUGGACUGCAACUGACACUGAGGCUCGAAAGUGUGGGUAUCAAACAGGAUUAGAUACCCCAGUAGUC